rnacentral:rRNA from 1 species
UACGAAGGGUGCAAGCGUUACUCGGAAUUACUGGGCGUAAAGGGUGCGUAGGUGGUCGUUUAAGUCCGUUGUGAAAUCCCUGGGCUCAACCUGGGAAUGGCAGUGGAUACUGGACGGCUAGAAUGCGGUAGAGGGUAGUGGAAUUCCCGGUGUAGCAGUGAAAUGCGUAGAGAUCGGGAGGAACACCAGUGGCGAAGGCGGCUACCUGGACCAGAACUGACGAUCAGGCUCGAAAGCGUGGGGAGCAAACAGG